GGGACGGCGUACAUAGGGCUCCGUGGAAGGAGCUGGGGAGCCCCUUCACUGCCCAUAGUGUUCCCCUUCUCCAAAAAGGCUCCGGUGCUGGUUUGGCGCUUCGGUAUCAUAAAGGGUAAAAAGACCAAAGGAAAAACCACCCUGACCCCGACUUGACCCCAAGCCCAAGGCAGGGGCAAGAAGAAGGAACCCACCAAUCUCUGAACAGGAAAACUCAGCAAUUCCGAGCUCAGGAAUUGAAAUCCCAGAGGCCUCCACCCUCGGAAGCCCCACCCCCAUCCCAUACUUCCUAUAUAAACCUUGCUUUCUGCUCACUUCCCCGUAGCUUCACUCCUGAGCAGAGGCAGCCACCCUCUGGGAUUAUCCCCUCCCAAUAAAUCUCUUGUGUGA